GGGUCUAAGCUAGCCAGGCAGCCGGGAACCAACAAGAGGCCCUCCUCCAGCAGUAGAACUCACCAGAAAUGUUUUCAGGUGCUGUAUAAGUCAGGUGAUAGCCAACUUCUGUCAUUUAAGGGCAUCUGUGCUCAACUUCUGAGCACAUCUUAUAUGUGCACAUUCCAGCACAAUGCCAAUGCAGAUAAUUAAUGGGAAGAAAUAGCAUGUUGUAAUAGGAAUGAAUAAAGAAUAUUUGGCAAUAUAUCUUCUCUAUAAAAUGAAGACUUGUCACUCAGAGACCAAAACCUACUUAGUGCAUUAAAUAAUUAUUAUGAUUUCAGCUUUAUGAUGCGUAGCUGCCGAUGCCUUGCGAAUAGCCUACACAGAGGCGCAAAGACCGGUCACAUUUCCCAGCUUGUUUUCAUCUGAGGCGGGUGUCCUUCAAAGUUUCUGAAAUGGAUCGGGCUCUAGAACUAAUUGCAUGAUGAGAAGAAACAGGAGUGGAGUCUCACAGAUGUACCCAGAAAUGUGCCCCGUGAGCUCCUUGGUGCCUCCCAAUCUGAUUAAGUUGCCAAUCGAGAUUGACAGUUGUGGGAAGAAGCCACCCGAGGACAAGGACUCAAGUGCUGAUGCUUGACGUGACCAGGAAACCAUCUCCUCUGGAUAACUU